CAGUAGCCGCGGUAAUACGGAGGGUGCAAGCGUUAAUCGGAAUUACUGGGCGUAAAGCGCACGCAGGCGGUCUGACAAGUCAGAUGUGAAAUCCCCGGGCUUAACCUGGGAACUGCAUUCGAAACUGUCAGGCUGGAGUCUUGUAGAGGGGGGUGGAAUUCCAGGUGUAGCGGUGAAAUGCGUAGAGAUCUGGAGGAAUACCGGUGGCGAAGGCGGCCCCCUGGACAAAGACUGACGCUCAGGUGCGAAAGCGUGGGGAGCAAACAGGAUUAGAUACCCGUGUAGUCCCUGUCUCUUAUAC
rnacentral:rRNA from 1 species